rnacentral:sRNA from 1 species
UGAGAAGAAUAGGGACACGAGAAAAAGAGGUGGUCUCGCGUCUCCAGUUCCUCGUCGCAGAAAACAU